rnacentral:tRNA from 1 species
CAGCCCUGUGGUGAAGAACACAUUGGAUUGCAAAUCCCGAAGACGUAGAAUAAUAUUCUGCCGGGGCUUU